rnacentral:RNase_P_RNA from 1 species
GACGGCCGGGCGGCCGCACCGCCAAUCCGGGAAACCGGGGCGGUGAGGAAAGUCCGGGCUCCACGGAGGCAGGGCGCCGGGUAACACCCGGCAGGAGCGAUCCUCGGGAUAGCGCCACAGAGAGCAGACCGCCGCAGGCUUCGGCCCGCGGUAAGGGUGAAAGGGUGCGGUAAGAGCGCACCGGGCUCCCAGCAAUGGGGGCCGCAUGGCAAGCCCCGCCUGGAGCAAGACCGAAUAGGGACGGCGCGCCGGUGUUCGCACCGGCAGGCGGGCCUCCGCGCCGCCGUCCGGGUGGGUCGCGUGAGGCGCGCAGCAAUGCGCGUCCCAGAGGAAUGGCCGUCCUCGACAGAACCCGGCUUACAGGCCGUCUG